rnacentral:rRNA from 1 species
GGGUGAGUAACACGUGGGCAACCUACCCUAUAGUUUGGGAUAACUCCGGGAAACCGGGGCUAAUACCGAAUAAUCUCUUUUGCUUCAUGGUGAAAGACUGAAAGACGGUUUCGGCUGUCGCUAUAGGAUGGGCCCGCGGCGCAUUAGCUAGUUGGUGAGGUAACGGCUCACCAAGGCGACGAUGCGUAGCCGACCUGAGAGGG